CGGGUGCUAAUACAUGCAGUCGAGCGGACUUGACGGAAGCUUGCUUCCGUUCAAGUUAGCGGCGGACGGGUGAGUAACACGUGGGUAACCUGCCUGUAAGACUGGGAUAACUCCGGGAAACCGGGGGCUAAUACCGGAUAUUCUUUUUCUUCGCAUGAAGAAGAAUGGAAAGGCGGCUUUUAGCUGUCGCUUACAGAUGGACCCGCGGCGCAUUAGCUAGUUGGUGAGGUAACGGCUCACCAAGGCAACGAUGCGUAGCCGACCUGAGAGGGUGAUCGGCCACACUGGGACUGAGACACGGCCCAGACUCCUACGGGAGGCAGCAGUAGGGAAUCUUCCGCAAUGGACGAAAGUCUGACGGAGCAACGCCGCGUGAGUGAAGAAGGUUUUCGGAUCGUAAAGCUCUGUUGUCAGGGAAGAACAAGUACGGAAGUAACUGUCCGUACCUUGACGGUACCUGACCAGAAAGCCACGGCUAACUACGUGCCAGCAGCCGCGGUAAUACGUAGGUGGCAAAGCGUUGUCCGGAAUUAUUGGGCGUAAAGCGCGCGCAGGCGGCUUCUUAAGUCUGAUGUGAAAGCCCACGGCUCAACCGUGGAGGGUCAUUGGAAACUGGGAGGCUUGAGUGCAGAAGAGGAGAGCGGAAUUCCACGUGUAGCGGUGAAAUGCGUAGAGAUGUGGAGGAACACCAGUGGCGAAGGCGGCUCUCUGGUCUGUAACUGACGCUGAGGCGCGAAAGCGUGGGGAGCGAACAGGAUUAGAUACCCUGGUAGUCCACGCCGUAAACGAUGAGUGCUAAGUGUUGGAGGGUUUCCGCCCUUCAGUGCUGCAGCUAACGCUAUUAAGCACUCCGCCUGGGGAGUACGGCCGCAAGUGCUGAAACUCAAAGGAAUUGACGUGGGGCCCGCUACAAUGCGGUGGAGCAUGUGGUUUAAUUCGAAGCAUACGCGAAGAACCUUACCAGUUCUUGACAUCCCGCUGACCGUCUGGAA
rnacentral:rRNA from 1 species